rnacentral:rRNA from 1 species
GAGUUUGAUCGUGGCUCAGAUUGAACGCUAGCGGGAUGCCUUACACAUGCAAGUCGAACGGCAGCACGGACUUCGGUCUGGUGGCGAGUGGCGAACGGGUGAGUAAUGUAUCGGAACGUGCCUAGUAGCGGGGGGAUAACUACGCGAAAGCGUAGCUAAUACCGCAUACGCCCUACGGGGAAAGGCAGGGGAUCGCAAGACCUUGCACUAUUAGAGCGGCCGAUAUCGGAUUAGCUAGUUGGUGGGGUAACGGCUCACCAAGGCGACGAUCCGUAGCUGGUUUGAGAGGACGACCAGCCACACUGGGACUGGGACACGGCCCAGACUCCUACGGGAGGCAGCAGUGGGGAAUUUUGGACAAUGGGGGAAACCCUGAUCCAGCCAUCCCGCGUGUGCGAUGAAGGCC